GUUUGAUCAUGGCUCAGAUUGAACGCUGGCGGCAGGCCUAACACAUGCAAGUCGAGCGGUAGCACAGAAGAGCUUGCUCUUUGGGUGACGAGCGGCGGACGGGUGAGUAAUGUCUGGGAAACUGCCUGAUGGAGGGGGAUAACUACUGGAAACGGUAGCUAAUACCGCAUAACCUCGCAAGAGCAAAGAGGGGGACCUUAGGGCCUCUCGCCAUCAGAUGUGCCCAGAUGGGAUUAGCUAGUAGGUGAGGUAAUGGCUCACCUAGGCGACGAUCCCUAGCUGGUCUGAGAGGAUGACCAGCCACACUGGAACUGAGACACGGUCCAGACUCCUACGGGAGGCAGCAGUGGGGAAUAUUGCACAAUGGGCGCAAGCCUGAUGCAGCCAUGCCGCGUGUGUGAAGAAGGCCUUCGGGUUGUAAAGCACUUUCAGCGAGGAGGAAGGCGGUAAGGUUAAUAACCUUAUCGAUUGACGUUACUCGCAGAAGAAGCACCGGCUAACUCCGUGCCAGCAGCCGCGGUAAUACGGAGGGUGCAAGCGUUAAUCGGAAUGACUGGGCGUAAAGCGCACGCAGGCGGUCUGUUAAGUUGGAUGUGAAAUCCCCGGGCUUAACCUGGGAACUGCAUUCAAAACUGACAGGCUAGAGUCUUGUAGAGGGGGGUAGAAUUCCAGGUGUAGCGGUGAAAUGCGUAGAGAUCUGGAGGAAUACCGGUGGCGAAGGCGGCCCCCUGGACAAAGACUGACGCUCAGGUGCGAAAGCGUGGGGAGCAAACAGGAUUAGAUACCCUGGUAGUCCACGCUGUAAACGAUGUCGAUUUGGAGGUUGUGCCCUUGAGGCGUGGCUUCCGGAGCUAACGCGUUAAAUCGACCGCCUGGGGAGUACGGCCGCAAGGUUAAAACUCAAAUGAAUUGACGGGGGCCCGCACAAGCGGUGGAGCAUGUGGUUUAAUUCGAUGCAACGCGAAGAACCUUACCUACUCUUGACAUCCAGAGAAUUAGCUAGAGAUAGCUGAGUGCCUUCGGGAACUCUGAGACAGGUGCUGCAUGGCUGUCGUCAGCUCGUGUUGUGAAAUGUUGGGUUAAGUCCCGCAACGAGCGCAACCCUUAUCCUUUGUUGCCAGCGAUUCGGUCGGGAACUCAAAGGAGACUGCCGGUGAUAAACCGGAGGAAGGUGGGGAUGACGUCAAGUCAUCAUGGCCCUUACGAGUAGGGCUACACACGUGCUACAAUGGCGUAUACAAAGAGAAGCGACCUCGCGAGAGCAAGCGGACCUCAUAAAGUACGUCGUAGUCCGGAUUGGAGUCUGCAACUCGACUCCAUGAAGUCGGAAUCGCUAGUAAUCGUAGAUCAGAAUGCUACGGUGAAUACGUUCCCGGGCCUUGUACACACCGCCCGUCACACCAUGGGAGUGGGUUGCAAAAGAAGUAGGUAGCUUAACCUUCGGGAGGGCGCUUACCACUUUGUGAUUCAUGACUGGGGUGAAGUCGUAACAAGGUAACCGUAGGGGAACCUGCGGUUG
rnacentral:rRNA from 1 species